CAAGCGGUGGAGCAUGUGGUUCAAUUCGAAGCAACGCGAAGAACCUUACCAGCCUUUGACAUCCCGGUCGCGGGCACCAGAGAUGGAGCCCUUCAGUUCGGCUGGACCGGAGACAGGUGCUGCAUGGCUGUCGUCAGCUCGUGUCGUGAGAUGUUGGGUUAAGUCCCGCAACGAGCGCAACCCUCGCCCUUAGUUGCCAUCAUUUAGUUGGGCACUCUAAGGGGACUGCCGGUGAUAAGCCGCGAGGAAGGUGGGGAUGACGUCAAGUCCUCAUGGCCCUUACAGGCUGGGCUACACACGUGCUACAAUGGCGGUGACAAUGGGACGCAAUGGGGAAACCCUGCGCAAAUCUCAAAAAGCCGUCUCAGUUCGGAUUGUGCUCUGCAACUCGAGCACAUGAAGUUGGAAUCGCUAGUAAUCGCAGAUCAGCACGCUGCGGUGAAUACGUUCCCGGGC
rnacentral:rRNA from 1 species